UCAUAGUGAUCCGGUGGUUCUGAAUGGAAGGGCCAUCGCUCAACGGAUAAAAGGUACUCCGGGGAUAACAGGCUGAUACCGCCCAAGAGUUCAUAUCGACGGCGGUGUUUGGCACCUCGAUGUCGGCUCAUCACAUCCUGGGGCUGAAGUAGGUCCCAAGGGUAUGGCUGUUCGCCAUUUAAAGUGGUACGCGAGCUGGGUUUAGAACGUCGUGAGACAGUUCGGUCCCUAUCUGCCGUGGGCGCUGGAGAACUGAGGGGGGCUGCUCCUAGUACGAGAGGACCGGAGUGGACGCAUCACUGGUGUUCGGGUUGUCAUGCCAAUGGCACUGCCCGGUAGCUAAAUGCGGAAGAGAUAAGUGCUGAAAGCAUCUAAGCACGAAACUUGCCCCGAGAUGAGUUCUCCCUGACCCUUUAAGGGUCCUGAAGGAACGUUGAAGACGACGACGUUGAUAGGCCGGGUGUGUAAGCGCAGCGAUGCGUUGAGCUAACCGGUACUAAUGAAC
rnacentral:rRNA from 1 species